UAAAGUGGCGACCGGGUGAGUAACACGUGACUAACCUACCCUAGAUGGGGAUAACCCCGGGAAACCGGGGCUAAUACCGCAUAACAUCACGAGGUGUAAAUUCCUUGUGAUCAAAGGAGCAAUUCGCUCAAGGAGGGGGUCGCGGCUGAUUAGCUAGUUGGUGAGGUAACGGCCCACCAAGGCUAAGAUCAGUAGCCGGCCUGAGAGGGCGCACGGCCACACUGGAACUGAAACACGGUCCAG
rnacentral:rRNA from 1 species